AGAAUUGUUAUAAUCAGACCAAAGAUUGCUCCAGCUUAUUUGAUUGUCUGCCAAAUGAAUACCAGGUGUGUGCCUUCUGGAUGGAACAGACCAGGCUCUCAAAGCGCAUAUACAUAGACAAAAUGCAGAAGAUCUAGGCCAUUUACAUCUCGGACACCUGAAGACAAAUGGAGCAAGUUCCCUGGAAGAGCUUUGCUUUUUUAAGGUCCUUGAUUUUGGAGCAGCAAGAGUUCCAAGUGUGCCUGUUAUUCCUUCUGUCCCGCCUAGGCAACAGUCCUUCUCUUGCCCUGGAUUCUCCACCUCUCACGCAGCCGCUGAGUUCACAUCCUGGGGUCUGCUCCCCUGGGGCCUCCCCCGCUCGCGUCACAGUCACCCAGUCUCCAGUGCUCUCCCUUCCUUCCUGCAGAGCUGAGUUUCUGCUACAGCCUGAAAAGUCUUCUUUUAACAUUUUUUGUAGAACAGAUUUGAUGGUAGUAAAUUCUCAGCAUCUGUUCAUCUUGAAGUAUUUUUACUCUGCUUUCAUUUGGGAGGGCUGCUUUUCUGGAUAGACGAUUCACAGGUGACAGCCUUCUCCCUUCAGCAUUUUAUCCAUGUUGCCUUGCCUUCUGCCUUGCACUGUCUCUGGUGAGCACGUGAAAGUGUGAGUCGCUCAGUCGUGUCUGACUCUCUGCAACCCCGUGGACCAUAGCUCGCCAGGUCCCUCUGCCCAUGGGAUUCUCCGGGCAAGAAUACUGGAGUGAGUUGCCGUGCCCUUCUCCAGGGGAUCUUCCCAACCCAGGGAUCGAACCCAGGUCUCCCACAUUGCUGCAAGAUUCUUUACUGUCCAAGCCACUAGACAGUUCACGGGUGACGCCUUUUUCUUUUCAGCACUUUAUCAAGGCUGUCCCAUUGUCUUCUGCCUUACGUUGUUUCUGUUCGAAAUGUGUCUUUGUCUCUCCUUCUGGCUACUUUUAAAGAUUUUUCUUUUUGCAUUGGUUUGAACAUUGGAGUAGAAUGUGCCUGUAGUCUUUAUUCUUCUUUGUUUCUUCUUAUUUUUAAAAAUAUUGCUUAGGAUUAGCUGAGCUUUUUGUUUUGGUAGCUUUGUGUUUUUUUAUUCUUGGCUUCCCAGGUAGCUCAGCAGUAAAGAAUCCUCCUACCAAUACUUGAGGAGACUCAAGUUUGAUCUCUGGGUGGGAACGAUGCCCUGGAGAAGCAAAUGGCAACCCACUGCAGUAUUCCUGUCUGGGAAAUCCCAGAGAGAGUGGCCUGGCAGGCUACAGGCCAUGGGGUUACAAAAGAGUUGGAUAUGACUUAGCCACUAAACAACAGCAACAGUUUUUUCUUAGCCUUUUUUUUUCUAAAAAGCUUUUUGUCCUCAUUCUUCCUUUUCUUCUGCAAACCUGUCCGCAGGUGUGCUUGCCUGGCUGCCGUUUCCGCGGGGCCACUCGCUGGCAGAAUCCCCGUGGCUCCCAGGGCUGCGCUGCUCUGCAGGCUGUGCUCAGCUCAUCGCUCGCACGCUUCUUUCUUCCAAGCUUUUGGAGUCUUGUCCUCACAUGCAUAGCCUAGUAUUCAGUUUAUGACUGCUGGAAAUGCCUGGAACUUUAUGGAGCUCCUUCUCUGCAUAGCUCCCUCCUCUCCAAUACUCUGUCCUGCAAACCCAAGUCCCCUCAGCAGCCUUGACAUCUGAUCUCUCCUCAGGUCAGCAAGAUCCCCAAGGUCUGCUUGGGCUGCACCCCACUUGCACUGCAGUCUGGACAGUGACUCCAGGCAGAAAGCCAGGGCUAUUGUGUGGCCUGCUUUGGAAUUCUCCUUCUCCCAGGGACUAUAACCCAGUGCUGCCUGUUGUCCAAUAUCUGAACAUAUUUGUGUAAAAUUUUUUUCCAGUUUUCUGUUUAUGUCAGUAGUGCUAAUUCAAUACGAGUUACUCUAUCAUGACCAGCAGUGAACACUGAGUAAUUAGAUGGUAUGUUCAGUCACUCAGGCAUAUCCGACUCUUUGCGACCCCAUGGACUGCAGCACACCAGGCCUCCCUGUCCAUCACAACUCCAGAAGCUCACUCAAACUCAUGUCCAUCGAGUCAGUGAUGCCAUCCAACCAUCUCAUCCUCUGUCGUCCCCUUCUCCUCCUGGAACCUCAUGGAGCUCCUUCUCUGCAUAGCUCCCUCUUCUCCAGUACCCCGUCCUGCACACCUAAGUCUUCGUGCAUAGAGGAAAACAGUAGAAUUGGAGAGACGAGAGAUGGACGUUAGAAGGUAAUAUUAUGAAAGAAAUAAUGGAAGCACUUCCCUGGAGGUCCAGUUGUUAAGAUUGCAUGCUUCCAGUACAGAGUAGUGGGUUCAAUCCCUGGUUGGGGAACUGAGAUCUCACAUACCUUUUGGUUUGAUCAAAAGAGGGGAAAAAUAGAGUAAAAUGAGCAUUAAAAAAUGAAUAAAUGGAACACAGUGAGGAGGCUGGCUAAUGCUGGGUGAGGGAGGCACGGAGCUGAGUCAUCGACCAGAAAGCAGGCAUUACCGCUCAGCGUGAUGAGUAUAAGUGGGGAAUAUAUUGAGCAUCUGAAGAGGCAGGGUCACCUAAAACCAUCCAGGGGUGUCUGGGAAGACUGCACGGAGGAAGUCAUAUCUUGCUAAAGAGCUGAAGGAUCAGUAGGAGCUAACUGGUUGAUGGGAUAGGAGUGAGAGCGCUGACGUGUGUUUCAAGAUACCGGAAACAGGAUAUUUUAAAGACUCAGGGAGAGGCUCAGAGCACACACUGAGUUUGGCAGAAUAUAAGUUUUUUUUUUUUUGGGGUGGAAUUAUACUGCGUGAUUAAUCAGAGACCCAAGUCAUGGAGGGCCUUGCGUGCCGUAUUGAGACGUCUUCACGUUAUCCUAUGGCCUUGAAAAGCUAUUAAAGGAUUUUAAGCAAUUGUGAAACUUGAUCGUAACCUCUGAAUCUCCAUUUCCCUGACUAUAGAAUGAGCAUGUUGGAAACAAUGGCAUCGAUUGUCUCUAAUAAAUGAGUCUACUUUUUACAUGAGGAUUCAAGUCUGUAUCUGUAUCAAAAGCCAGUGUCAAAUGCCUAAUAUAAGAGGUCCUUGAAAAGAUAAUGCUUUUCAAACGAUGUUUUGGACCACAUAUUUUUCUGAGAGAUAAAGUGAUCUCAACAUAAUAAAGGAAAUUGAUGGUGAAACUCCAAAAACAUAAAACCUUUGAUUUCUCAAUUAUCACCAUUAAAAGAUACAAAAGAUUGACAUAUAAUAGAAGGUAGUCAAUUGCAUUAUAAUAUUUAUCAGUACAUAAAAAAAUCUAGACAAUGAAUAAAAUGUUAAUAUUGAAGGUUUAGUAGAAUCAUAAAACAGAGGAGAGGAGCAGAAUGAGAAGAAAGGCUGCAGACAAGUCUCUAUUUCCAUGCCAGAUGGGGCUCAAAGGAAAAAGGUUGCUUUUUAUUUA
ensembl:lincRNA